UAGGAAGAUAUGUCUACAAAAAGAGAUGGUGUAUAUGAAGCACAGUUCAGUUCCAAUAUUUUAUGAAAAUUAAUUUUGAAGUAAACUCACCUCAGCAACAAGAAAAUCUUGCACUUUCUCUCCAUAAAGUCUGACGCAUAGUGAAAAGGAAUGAUUACGGCAUGAAUUUGAUGCUGAGAUUGCAUCCAUGAACCAUCCUCAUUCUGGGAUGUUUCAGUUGAA